AGUAUAUAUCGGAACGUGCCCAGUCGUGGGGGAUAACGUAGUGAAAAUUACGCUAAUACCGCAUACGAUCUAAGGAUGAAAGCGGGGGACUCGCAAGAGCCUCGCGCGAUUGGAGCGGCCGAUAUCAGAUUAGGUAGUUGGUGAGGUAAAGGCUCACCAAGCCAACGAUCUGUAGCUGGUCUGAGAGGACGACCAGCCACACUGGAACUGAGACACGGUCCAG
rnacentral:rRNA from 1 species